GGCGGCUGAUUAAGUCUGAUGUGAAAUCCCUGAGCUUAACUUAGGAAUUGCAUUCGAUACUGGUAAGCUAGAGUAUGGGAGAGGAUGGUAGAAUUCCAGGUGUAGCGGUGAAAUGCGUAGAGAUCUGGAGGAAUACCGAUGGCGAAGGCAGCCAUCUGGCCUAAUACUGACGCUGAGGUACGAAAGCAUGGGGAGCAAACAGGAUUAGAUACCCUGGUAGUCCAUGCCGUAAACGAUGUCUACUAGCCGUUGGGGCCUUUGAGGCUUUAGUGGCGCAGCUAACGCGAUAAGUAGACCGCCUGGGGAGUACGGUCGCAAGACUAAAACUCAAAUGAAUUGACGGGGGCCCGCACAAGCGGUGGAGCAUGUGGUUUAAUUCGAUGCAACGCGAAGAACCUUACCUGGUCUUGACAUAGUAAGAACUUUCCAGAGAUGGAUUGGUGCCUUCGGGGAACUUACAUACAGGUGCUGCAUGGCUGUCGUCAGCUCGUGUCGUGAGAUGUUGGGUUAAGUCCCGCAACGAGCGCAACCCUUUUCCUUAUUUGCCAGCACUUCGGGUGGGAACUUUAAGGAUACUGCCAGUGACAAACUGGAGGAAGGCGGGGACGACGUCAAGUCAUCAUGGCCCUUACGACCAGGGCUACACACGUGCUACAAUGGUCGGUACAAAGGGUUGCUACCUAGCGAUAGGAUGCUAAUCUCAAAAAGCCGAUCGUAGUCCGGAUUGGAGUCUGCAACUCGACUCCAUGAA
rnacentral:rRNA from 1 species